UGCUUCAGCUGCUGGAGACAUCGACCAGGUUUGUGCCUCAGGAUGACCUCCAGUGUGUUCUCCGUCUUCUUCCUCCUCGCCUCUCUGGUUUUCUGCGUCUCGGCGGUCGAUCCUGCCGGCGUUAAAAUCAGAAUCACCAACCAUGCGCUGGACAUGUUGAACCUCCAGGCUCAGGCUAUUAUCCAGGAGCAGCUGCUCAACAGACCCUUUGAAA